UACAUAGGGUCCGAGCGUUGUCCGGAAUCAUUGGGCGUAAAGCGCAUGUAGGCGGCCCUUUAAGUCGGAUGUGAAAUCCCGAGGCUCAACUUCGGAACUGCAUCCGAUACUGGGGGGCUUGAGGAAGGUAGAGGAGAGUGGAAUUCCCGGUGUAGCGGUGGAAUGCGCAGAUAUCGGGAGGAACACCAGCGGCGAAGGCGGCUCUCUGGGCCUCUCCUGACGCUGAGAUG
rnacentral:rRNA from 1 species